UAUACGAUGAAGAGUUUGAUCCUGGCUCAGGAUGAACGCUAGCGGCAGGCUUAACACAUGCAAGUCGAGGGGUAUAAGUCUUCGGAUUUAGAGACCGGCGCACGGGUGCGUAACGCGUAUGCAAUCUACCUUUUACAGAGGGAUAGCCCAGAGAAAUUUGGAUUAAUACCUCAUAGCAUAGCAGCUUCG
rnacentral:rRNA from 1 species